rfam:Phytophthora infestans T30-4 supercont1.31 genomic scaffold, whole genome shotgun sequence.
CUUUUAGCUCAAUGGCUGAGCGUUGGCUUUGAGAGCCCCAGGUCGGUGGUUCGAACCCACCAGGG